CCUGGUAACGCAUUGACCAAAUUUGUUUAGCUCUUUAGGGGGAGGUGAUAUUGAGCGACCAGGGGUUGUCCAGGGCACUGCCCAUGCCCACCGCAUGCCCGAAAGUCGGUGCCCCCACCACCAGUUAGGUUCCUGGCGGUGCUCCGGUGAUCCAUCCCAACGGUGCUCCGGUGAACCGUCCCAGCGGUGCUCCGGUGAACCAUUCCGGCAGCAUAGGCCUUUGGUCGUACGGGAGCCUCGGGCCCCAUCGGCACCUUGGUGUUAGGAUGUGAGCAAGCCUCGAACACCAUCGACAACCUAGGCCCUUGGUCGUGCGAGAGCCUCGGGCACCAUCGGCACUUAGGUGCUUGGAUGUGUGGGAGCCUCGGACACCAUCGACAAACUAGGCCCUUGGUUGUGCGAGAGCCUCGGGCACCAUCGGUAACCUAGGCCCCUGGUCGUGUGAGAGCCUCGGGCACCAACAGCACCUGGGCGCUCGAAUGUACGGGAGCCUCGGACACCAUCAGCAACCUAGGCCCUUGGUCGUGCGAGAGCCUCUGGCACCAUCGGUACCUAGGCACUCGGAUGUGCGGAAGCCUCGGACACCAUCGGUAAACUAAGCCCGUGGUCGUACGGGAGCCUCGGGUACUAUCGGCACUUGGGUACUCGGAUGUGCGGGAGCGUCGGACACCAUCCGUAAACUAGGCCCUUGGUCUUGCGGGAGCCUCGCGCACCAUCGGCUACCUAGUCCCUUGGUCGUGCUGGAGCCUCGAGCACCAUCGACACCUUGGUGCUUGGAUGUGCGGGAACGUCGGACACCAUCGGCAACCUAGGCCCUUGGUCGUGCGAGAGCCUCAGGCACCAUCGGUACCUAUGGGCUCAGAUGUGCGGGAAUGUCAGACACCAUCGGAAACCUAGGCCCUUGGUCGUGCGAGACCCUCAGGCACCAUCGGCACCUAUGGGCUCAGAUGUACGGGAGCCUCGGACACCAUCGGCAAACUAGGCCCUUGUUCGUGCGAAAGCCUCGGGCACCAUCAGCAACCUAGGCCCUUGGUCGUGCGAGAGCCUCGGGCACCAUCAGCACCUGGGUGCUCGGAUGUGCGGGAGCGUCGGACACCAUCGGCCCGUCGGUACUAUGAUGUGCGGGAGCCUCGGACAAUGUCGGCNNNNNNNNNNNNNNNNNNNNNNNNNNNNNNNNNNNNNNNNNNNNNNNNNNNNNNNNNNNNNNNNNNNNNNNNNNNNNNNNNNNNNNNNNNNNNNNNNNNNGAGGUUCGGACACCAUUGACAACUAGCCCUUGGUCAUGCGGGAGCCUCGGGCACCAUCGGCACCUCGGUGCUCGGAUUUCCGGGAGCCUCAGGCACCAUCGGCAGAAUAGGCCCUUCGUCGUGUGAGAGCCUCGGGCACCAUCGACACCUUAGUGGCUCAGAUGUGCGGGAGCCUCGAGCAGCAUGGGCACCUUGGUGGGUCGGAUGUGCGGGAACCUCGAACACCAUCGACAACCUUGGUGCUUGGAUGUGCGGGAGCCUUGAGCACCAUCGACACCUUGGUGCCUGGGAUGUGCGGGCUAAAGAAAAGUGUCCCCGUUUCAGACAGUCGAGUGUUUACUGGUAGCACAUUAACGAAGUUUUUUUAGCUCUUUAAGGGGUAGAGAUCCGCUGCCCCACGACUAGCCCCCCAUAGGUCAUCCCGCAACGUCUCAUCAACGGUGGUGGGUCGGUCACCGACGGUAGUGGCUGGGGUAAUGAUUUUCCGGCCAGCCAAGCCCGUGCCCAUAGAAAUGUAGCCAACGACUCCAGGACCAAGUUUCUUAUAUCGGGAAAAGAUCUCUUGGGGUGGCUUAUGCAUUGCUAUGGGCUCGAGCUUGGCUUGCCCGUCUGCCCCCGUCACAUUUAGGGACUCCUUGUGCAUCCCAAGUCGGCGACCACAUGGUGCCUUGGCCUUGCCAAGCCCUUGCUCGCAUUCGAAGCUGCCCGUGAGCCCAGUACCAAGUCUUUGACGGCAACGGCUUACUAGAGGGUGUAAGUUGAGAUUGUAGGCUCGGUCUUGGCUCGACCAAGUCCCAGUGGGAUUUUGCCCCUUGUAGUUCUCGUGCCAAGCGGUUGUGGUGUGCCCUCAUUUGUUGUUCCUUCCGCUCCCCUACCAUUCGAUUGGUUGGGUGGGCUAUUGGGCAGUGUGCGCGGGCACUACUACUAGUACGCAAUGGGCAUAUGAGUGGUGUUUUGGUUGUGUGUAUUGGCAGGCUCCAUGCUAAUCGCAUCGAACUUUCGAGUCGCAGUCAUCUUCAUUAACUCCCCUUGUUGUAAUUGAACCCAAGGGGUGGGAUCGGGAUCCUGUGUUGCAUACCUAAGCCAGAUGGAAUUAUGGAUGUGUUGCUGUCCCUUCUCCAUCUCGUGCCCUUCGGGGUGCGUGGUGGACCUCAAUCGUGCCUUGUGUCCUGAGUGCGCCCCUUUAAAUUGGUGUGGCCUUGUCGGUGUACUGGUACUCGAUCGUGCUUUCGGAUGCGGAAAAUAUUUUUGAGAGUAGGGUUCAGGCCCUUAUCUCUCGAUGCCAUGCAUUUUGUCUCUUGACACGGACGAUGCUCGUGCUCUGUUAUGACCUUUUCGUUGCUCAAGCGGCAUGUUGAGGGCCAUGCAGUGCCGACGUCGUGGAGGAAUGCUACCUGGUUGAUCCUGCCAGUAGUCAUAUACUUGUCUCAAAGAUUAAGCCAUGCAUGUGUAAGUAUGAACAAAUUCAGAUUGUGAAACUGCGAAUGGCUCAUUAAAUCAGUUAUAGUUUGUUUGAUGGUAUUUGCUACUCGGAUAACCGUAGUAAUUCUAGAGCUAAUACGUGCAACAAACCCCAACUUCUGG
rnacentral:lncRNA from 1 species